UACGGGGGGGGCAAGCGUUGUUCGGAAUUACUGGGCGUAAAGGGCUCGUAGGUGGCCAACUAAGUCAGACGUGAAAUCCCUCGGCUUAACCGGGGAACUGCGUCUGAUACUGGAUGGCUUGAGUUUGGGAGAGGGACGCGGAAUUCCAGGUGUAGCGGUGAAAUGCGUAGAUAUCUGGAGGAACACCGGUGGCGAAGGCGCCACUCUGGGCCGAAACUGACGCUGAGGAGCGAAAGCAUGGGUAGCAAACAGG
rnacentral:rRNA from 1 species